GUCACACUGAGCCUGCAGUCCUGGCAGUCGGAGGAGCCAGAGUGGGCAGGGAUGUGUCCAUUAGCACCACCUGCCUCUUGAGUGUCUUCCAGGUGAUCAUGGCACAAGCAGAGAGUUCAACACAUUCACAGGAACAAUCUCUCCCCCAGAUCAUCCCCUGAGUCCAGGGCUACCCAAAGCAUCCUUGUCCUG